CCGAACAGGAAGGGGAGAGGGAAGAUGGAGAGUCGAGGGACUGUCGCUGGCACUCUUCGUUCGGAGUGUGCAUGUGCACGUCUCUCAUCUUGACAUCGACCUUUUACCCAUCCACACCCCUUCACACCUGUGCACCUUUUGUAGGUCCUCGAAAGAGGAUCUAUGUCUUUAUCAUAUCACACCCGCCGUAUGUCUAGAAUGUCAUAAUAAAAUA
rnacentral:misc_RNA from 1 species